rnacentral:rRNA from 1 species
AACGAACGCUGGCGGCAUGCCUAACACAUGCAAGUCGAACGAGACCUUCGGGUCUAGUGGCGCACGGGUGCGUAACGCGUGGGAAUCUGCCUUUGGGUGCGGAGUAACAGUUAGAAAUGACUGCUAAUACCGCAUAAUGACUCCGGUCCAAAGAGCAAUCGCCCAGGGAUGAGCCGGAGUCGGAUUAGCUAGUUGGUAGGGUAAAAGCCUACCAAGGCGACGAUCAGUAGAUGGGCUGAGAGGAUGAUCAGCCACAUUGGGACUGAGACACGGCCCAAACUCUUACGGGAGGCGGCAGUGGGGAAUCUUGCGCAAUCGGCGAAAGCCUGACGCAGCCAUGCCGCGUGAAUGAUGAAGGUCUUAGGAUUGAAAAAAUCUUUCACCGGGGAAGAUAAUGACGGUACCCGGAGAAGAAGCCCCGGCUAACUUCGUGCCAGCAGCCGCCGUAAUAC